GAUGAACGCUGGCGGCGUGCCUAAUACAUGCAAGUCGAGCGAACAGACGAGGAGCUUGCUCCUCUGACGUUAGCGGCGGACGGGUGAGUAACACGUGGAUAACCUACCUAUAAGACUGGGAUAACUUCGGGAAACCGGAGCUAAUACCGGAUAAUAUAUUCAACCGCAUGGUUCAAUAGUGAAAGACGGUUUUGCUGUCACUUAUAGAUGGAUCCGCGCCGCAUUAGCUAGUUGGUAAGGUAACGGCUUACCAAGGCAACGAUGCGUAGCCGACCUGAGAGGGUGAUCGGCCACACUGGAACUGAGACACGGUCCAGACUCCUACGGGAGGCAGCAGUAGGGAAUCUUCCGCAAUGGGCGAAAGCCUGACGGAGCAACGCCGCGUGAGUGAUGAAGGUCUUCGGAUCGUAAAACUCUGUUAUUAGGGAAGAGCAAAUGUGUAAGUAACUAUGCACGUCUUGACGGUACCUAAUCAGAAAGCCACGGCUAACUACGUG
rnacentral:rRNA from 1 species